rnacentral:sRNA from 1 species
UGUGUCUAUCCAUUAAAUCAUAAAAGGAGUUCUAGGAUCUAUGUUUUUUUUGAAGUGAUAACGUCAAUUGUUUGCUACUUGUUGACUCCCUGGAUGAAAUUAAAACUUUUAAAACCUUACUGCACAUCUAUAGAACAGUCCCUAUCAUAUCCCAAGAUAUGAUUGUCUAUCCAUUAAAUCAUAAGAGGAGCUCUUGGAUCAAUGGGUUGUUUUUUUUAGUGAUAAACAUCAAUUUUCUGCUACUAUUUGACUCCUUGGAUGAAAUUUAAAUUUUUAAAACCUUAUUGCACAUCUAUAGGACAGCCCCAAUUAUAUCCCAAGAGAUGACGUAUCUACUCCAAAAGUUGUAAGAGGAGUUCUGGGAACCAUAUUUUUUUGGCCAAAAAACGUCAUUUUUUGUUGCCCACUGAUCCCCUUAAUAAAAAAAAAAUCCGGAACCUGAUCAUGCCUCAAUAUGACACCCCCAAUCAUAUUCUAGAAGAUCAUUUGGCUACUACCAAAAAAAAAAAGACGUUUUUGAAACCAGUUUUUU